rnacentral:rRNA from 1 species
AUGCCUAGUAACGGCGAGUGAAGCGGCAACAGCUCAAAUUUGAAAUCUGGCUUCGGGCCCGAGUUGUAAUUUGUAGAGGAAGCUUUUGGUGAGGCACCUUCUGAGUCCCCUGGAACGGGGCGCCAUAGAGGGUGAGAGCCCCGUAUAGUCGGAUGCCGAUCCAAUGUAAAGCUCCUUCGACGAGUCGAGUAGUUUGGGAAUGCUGCUCAAAAUGGGAGGUAAAUUUCUUCUAAAGCUAAAUACCGGCCAGAGACCGAUAGCGCACAAGUAGAGUGAUCGAAAGAUGAAAAGCACUUUGAAAAGAGGGUUAAAUAGCACGUGAAAUUGUUGAAAGGGAAGCGUUUGUGACCAGACUUGCGCCGUUCCGAUCAUCCGGUGUUCUCACCGGUGCACUCGGGACGGCACAGGCCAGCAUCGGUUUUGGCGGGGGGACAAAGGCCCUGGGAACGUAGCUCCUCCGGGAGUGUUAUAGCCCAGGGCGUAAUGCCCUCGCCGGGACCGAGGUUCGCGCAUCUGCAAGGAUGCUGGCGUAAUGGUCACCAACGACCCGUCUUGAAACACGGACCAAGGAGUCAAGGUUUUGCGCGAGUGUUUGGGUGUAAAAUCCGCACGCGUAAUGAAAGUGAACGUAGGUGAGAGCUUCGGCGCAUCAUCGACCGAUCCUGAUGUAUUCGGAUGGAUUUGAGUAAGAGCGUUAAGCCUUGGACCCGAAAGAUGGUGAACUAUGCUUGGAUAGGGUGAAGCUCAGAGGAAACUCUGGUGGAGGCUCGCAGCGGUUUCUGACGUGCAAAUCGAUCGUCAAAUCUGAGCAUGGGGGGCGAAAGACUAAUCGAACCAUCUAGUAGCUGGGUUACGCGA